rnacentral:rRNA from 1 species
CCACCGGGGAUGCUUAGUACGGCGAGUGAGCGGCAAAGCUCAAAUUUGAAAUCUGGUACCUUCGGUGCCCGAGUUGUAAUUUGGAGAGGGCAACUUUGGGGCCGUUCCUUGUCUAUGUUCCUUGGAACAGGACGUCAUAGAGGGUGAGAAUCCCGUGUGGCGAGGAGUGCGGUUCUUUGUAAAGUGCCUUCGAAGAGUCGAGUUGUUUGGGAAUGCAGCUCUAAGUGGGUGGUAAAUUCCAUCUAAAGCUAAAUAUUGGCGAGAGACCGAUAGCGAACAAGUACAGUGAUGGAAAGAUGAAAAGAACUUUGAAAAGAGAGUGAAAAAGUACGUGAAAUUGUUGAAAGGGAAGGGCAUUUGAUCAGACAUGGUGUUUUGUGCCCUCUGCUCCUUGUGGGUAGGGGAAUCUCGCAUUUCACUGGGCCAGCAUCAGUUUUGGUGGCAGGAUAAAUCCAUAGGAAUGUAGCUUGCCUCGGUAAGUAUUAUAGCCUGUGGGAAUACUGCCAGCUGGGACUGAGGACUGCGACGUAAGUCAAGGAUGCUGGCAUAAUGGUUAUAUGCCGCCCGUCUUGACCCCCGCAGCACCA